GUUUAUACUAUAUGGUUACAAAGAGAACUUAAUAUUUUCCAAAAGGUUUCAUGCCUGAUCAUUGCCAUGUUGCUAGAUCUUAAGUGAUAUGUUUCAUAUACAUAUCUGUUGGAUUAUUAGACUAUAUGGUUAUACUAGUGUCAUUUAUCUGUCUGAAGGAUAUAGGUAUUUGUAUUACUUUUAUCUUUUAUAGACUCAUAUCUUCUUAUUCUUGGGCAAAAAAUCUUUGAGCCCAAAUUAGUUUAUACACGUGUUUUAUUUUUAAUAGAAUUUCUUGUACUCAUCAGUUAUGAUGACAGCCACUUAAUAUAGUUGGUAUUCCGAGUUUUGGAGUAACAAUGUUGAGAAAGAUGCGACUCAGAAUAUUCAAAAUUUGAAGAAGUUGGAGAUGUUUUGCCUUAAUGAUGUGUGGUGAGUCAAUUGGUGUAGAGCUCUGUCCUAGUAAAGUCGGUUGGCCUUAUUAAAAUAAUACGCAUUGUAAAGAAAAUGAUUCUAAGUAACAUCCGAAACUUGAAAUGGUAGGGAAAAAGGUUUUAGAUAAGUACAAAGGUUUCCUUUAGUUCUUAAGACAGUUACUAGUUUAUUAAGUUCCGAAUAAGAGGGUGAAGAGUACAAUUUGGUAGGAAGUGAAUGUGGAGGCUCACAUAUUUGACUUUUCAAAUCUCCACUCUCCAACCUCUGAGCUUAAUAGGCCCACAAAUGUCUUUAGAGCUAAGGGCAAACCUUUGCACUUUUCUGCAAAUUUGUUUCCAACCUCUUUUCUUAGAAUCCAUGUUUUCAAAUGCGCGUCUUUUUUAUGAAGACAAACAACUUCACUGGACAGAGUUCCCACAUUAAUUGGCCACUACCCAUCAUCUAAACAACACUUUUCUUAUGCGAAUUGGCUCACUUUGACACCUCAACUACAAUGACAACCUCAUGGAAGAGUGCGAAGAUUCCAAAUUUAUAAGCAGACUUCAUCGAGAAAGAUGCAACAUGGAACUGUGAGUUAUGUGCUCCUGACUAACUUUCUUGACUUUUGGAGUUCGUGCACCAUGCUUUUUAUUGUCAUUCUCCAUUACUCUCUUCUUCCUUUUCCCAAUCUCACCCCAACCAAUCUGUAAAGUCAAUUUCCUUCUCUUCCUUGCAAGAUUUCAUAGUUUGUGCAGAAAAUUCUCAUCUCCUGUAAUAUAAAAGUUUAGGUUUACUAAGAAGUUUGGGUAAGUAGUAGCUGUGGUUAAAAUUUGAUCACCUUCUACUUUGUAAAGUUACAGAAGUAAUUAGUUGAUUAUUUUAAUGUAUGCUUCCCUAGAAUUUAUAGGGUGAUAAGGAAAAUUUUGAUGCCGUGAAUGUUGGAUGACAUGAUUUUCAAAGAUGGAAGCAUUUUAGAUUUAUGGUAGGGAUUUGCAUUAUUACUACACGUCACGGUUCUGGAGGUAAUGUAGUCCGUGGCUCUACUAUAUUUCUUUGAUACUUCAAAUUCAAGUGUAUAAUGUUGUUCCUUUGUAAUUUCAUAUGGGGAAACUAGUUCUUGUGAAAUCACAAUGAAAGGUCAUAAGUCAUAACGAGUGAAAAUUGAUUUUCUAUAUAUCAUAGACUUAUUUUUGAAGGCAUUGCAGAUAAAUUCUCUCCCACUUGUGGGAUUACACUGGAUUUGUUGCAGAUAAAUUCAAUGUUACUGUAAGUAGAAUUGUCAUCGUUUAGUGUUUCGUAGAGCUGAGUGGAUGCUGAAACUUUACUUUUAUUUUUUUACCCUGUAGUUUUCUUUUGCAAUAAAAUGUUAUAUAUACUGAAUUUAGACUGCUGAGACAAAGGCAUUUUGCUGGAAUACUGUACAAACAUAUCUACCAUGGAUUUGCACAGCCCAAGAGAAGGCCAACUGGUUUUGGAAGACUAUACAGUAGCCCUGUAGUUGUGGCACCCGUGAAGAGUUGGAGAAUGAUUUAAGAUCAACGGAGUUUCUAAGAAUUAAAGAAUGAACGAGAUAAAUGCUCAUCAUAGCAAAAGCUUGAAAAUAAUGUAUUUGGAGCUUGGUUUGUUGAAGAGACGCAGGCAACCACGUCUCCAAAAGGCAUUAACCAUCUUCUAGUACUUCGAAAAUUUGAAGAUAGUGAUAAUGUAUUGUAAGCCUGGAUUAGUCCAUCAAAACUUAGUCCUCUCCAAUGGUAGAUCAAUGAUUGUCUUGUUCAUCAGCUGUUACGGUGAACUUUUAACGAUUGAAUGUGCAUGCGUUUUGUAUA